CCUGCUCUAAUGAACACGACCCUUUCAUCUUCAGUUGUCUUUCUUCUCUUACCUAUGAUCCUGAUUUCCAGAGUAGCCCUGGCCUCAAUCUGCAGGACCAACCUGUACAUCCCAGAGUGGGCUCUCUCAGCCGAGCGGAUGAACAGGAGAUAGUCCACGCUGGAACUGCGUGUGCUGCUAACUCAAAUGUCAACUUCUUCCCCAUCCUCACUGUUAGUCUACACCUGUUGUUCACAAAGCAUGUGACAAUUGAAAUUGUAUUUGACACCAGUAGAGAGCACGUGGAGCAGACACAGAUCCUCUCCAUGCCACCUGGUAGGAGCGGCCUGCCAGGGAGCGUUUCUUACCCUAUUAGACAAAGCAAUACUUUGUUCAGAAUAGAAACAAAUGAAGGAACAAACAGUAGCUGUCAAUGGCUAACUGCAGUGGUACCUUGUAAACUUCACGAGAUAUUGGGCACCUAAUAAGAUGUUCAAGUUUGAUAAGCUUGUCCCAUAUAGAGUGAUUCUGUAGAACACAUAGCAUUCAGCUUCGGUUCAUACUUCAUAAUACAUGAAACCAUUGCGGUGUAAUGGGUAACUUUGAACAACAGACCUGGAAGGGGAUGGUCAGAUUAAUUUUGUCGCCCUACUCUUCUGGGGUCGGUUGCACAAGUUGGGCAUAAAAAUGUUGGCCGUAAAUGCUAGGUCGGGCGUAGCUACGUCCGACUUUGGGAUCAGAAUUUACACCUAUUGCACCAAACACAAAAUAAGACUAGUCGAACCUGUCUGGCGUAAGCAAUGCACAUUCAUGAGAGUUGAUGCUUUUUUUAUGCAAAAUCUGGAUCCCUACAAAUCAGCUGGGCUAGACAAUCUGGACCCGCUCUUUCUAAAAUUAUCUCCCCGAAAUUGUUGCAACCCCUAUUACUAGCCCAAGUCUAUAUUGCUGUCAUCAAGGAAAAGGGUGGCUACUUUGAAGAAUCCCAAAAAAUUAAACAUAUUUCGAUUUUUUUAACACACUUUUUUGGUUACUACAUGAUUCGACAUGUGUAAUUUCAUAGUUUUGAUGUCUUCACUAUUAUUCUACAAUGUAGAAAAUAGUAAAAAAUAAAGAAAAACCCUUGAAUGAGUAGGUGUGUCGAAACUUUUGACUGGUAAUGUAUAUAGAAAUACAGCAUGGCUCUUGUAGCAAUUUAUUCUCUUCACCUCUGUGUCUUUUCUAAGGUCGCAGAGGAGUUUUCCAGAAGUCAUCCUCCCACCCGGGGACACCUGGAUCUUCAACAGAGAGGAUGCCGAAAGGAUUGCCAAUGGGGGUGGAAUCAGAGCGUUCAGCCCGCACCCCUUUACCUCAGGAGCUCCAAGACACCAAUCAGGGAAGAGACCAGGGGCAUGUGUGGAUAGAUCCAAACUACGAGUAUGUACUCCAAGGCAUCUACAGUGGCCCAGUAUAUCCAUUGGACAGAAGAGAAAACAGACAGUCUGAUAUCCAUGGUGACAGAACACAGAGAGAGACAUCAGAAUCUCAGUCUAGUUCUAGAUGGUCCACACCAGAUCCCACAAAAAAAGGUACAAUUGUCAAAUUAAUUACAGUCUCCACAAUAUGCACCUUGAUAAAAUGUAAAUCACUUGAUGGAAUACAAAUAACUAACAUAUUUUUUUUAAUUAUGUUUUUUUUCUCAAUCAAAGCCAAAUUCAAACGUUUUGAUUCUCAUCUGAUUCCUUACAAUUAGGUCAAGUUGCAAUAUCUCUGACAGCCAACAGAGGGAAACAGAGACACAUGGCUCUAUGAUUCUCGAUGUAGUUACACCCAAACUCCUCUCUCUCUUUCUCUCUCUCAAUUCAAUUCAAAGGGCUUUACUGGCAUGGGGAACACAUGUUUACAUCGCCAAAUCAAGUGAAAUAGACAAUAAACGAAAGUGAAAUACGCAAUCAAAUAUGAACAGUAAACAUUACUGUUUACAACAAAACUACAACAAAAGUUUCAAAGGAAUAGACAUUUCAAAUGUCAUACCAUGGCUAUGUACAGUGUUGUAACAAUUUGCAAAUAGUUAAAUUGCAAAAGGAAAAAUAAAUAUGGGUUGUACUUACAAUGGUGUUUGUUCUUCACUGGUUGACCUUUUCUUGUGGCAACAGGUCACAAAUCUUGCUGCUGUGAUGGCACACUCUGGUAUGUCACCUAAUAGAUAUGGUAGUUUAUCAAAAUUGGAUUUGUUUUUUAAUUCUUUGUGGGUCUGUAUAAUCUGAGGGAAAUACUGUAUGUCUCUAAGUGUAACCUAACCCCUAAGCCUACAAUUGCCUUUUUCCUUGUGGGGACGAGCGAAAUGUCCCCACUUAUCCGAAUGUUCCUUGUUUUACUAUCAUUGUGAUUACUUAUGGUCCCCACAAGGAUAGUAAAACCAAACACACACAAACACACACACACACACACAAUAUCAUAGAUUUUCUAUUGGCACUAUUACUACUUUGGCAUUCUCAAGCUUUCCUGCUAUUCAUUAAUUACUACAGCUCCCUUUUUUCACACACAACAUCCAUGACUUCCAUUCAUUCUGUGCAUUGGAGUCAUACACAUUGUAUUAAAGUAUCAACUUUUCCUCAUAAGGAGAGGGUGAGUGAAGAGGAGCAGAUAGAGAGGAUGAGGAGACAUCAGAAAAGGCUAGCCAAUCAGAGGAAACCACUCAUUCCCGGGUCUCACGACCCAAACCCAGUGUCAAAGUUCAGAUCCAAAA